rnacentral:rRNA from 1 species
UGGGGAAUUUUGGACAAUGGGCGCAAGCCUGAUCCAGCCAUGCCGCGUGAGUGAAGAAGGCCUUCGGGUUGUAAAGCUCUUUCGGCGGGGACGAAACGGUUCGUGACAACACCACGGACUAAUGACGGUACCCGCAUAAGAAGCACCGGCUAACUACGUGCCAGCAGCCGCGGUAAUACGUAGGGUGCAGGCGUUAAUCGGAAUUACUGGGCGUAAAGCGUGCGCAGGCGGUUUGUUAAGACAGGUGUGAAAUCCCCGGGCUUAACCUGGGAAUUGCGCUUGUAACUGGCAGGCUAGAGUGUGGCAGAGGGGGGUGGAAUUCCACGUGUAGCAGUGAAAUGCGUAGAUAUGUGGAGGAACACCGAUGGCGAAGGCAGCCCCCUGGGUUAACACUGACGCUCAUGCACGAAAGCGUGGGGAGCAAACAGGAUUAGAUACCCCAGUAGUCCCUGAGCGGGCUGGCAAGGCGCAU